UAGAUGAUAAAGAUUAACCCUAAUAAUAAUUCAGCCAGUAUUGGAUAAAUAUUCACUGAGCUCCUACUAUGUGCCAGGACGGUUCUUGAUGCUGUGGCCUAACAAUGAAUAAGCAAGAUAAAAAUCCCUGCUCCCAUGGAAGAAACAGACAACAAAUAAGGCCUCCACGUCAGCAAACUUGAGAAAAUGCAGAGAAGGAAAAUGAUCACUUGAAAGGCAACGCAGAGCUCUAAGACUCCACUGCACACACAAACACAUAACGACAAUCAUACUAACACUUACACAUGUGGGAUGGUUGUUUUGAAAAUAUCCAUCAUACAACUGCACGUUUUAUCCCAGACAUCAGGACUGAAUUUCUCUCCAUUGGAUAUUACUAAGUUUUCUAAGCAAUUUGUACCUGAUCGAGCCAAUUGCUCAUUAUCUGUAAAAUAAAAUAAUAUCUAUCAUUAAACUUCAA